ACCGGUAUAAAUAAUGCCAGCUAACAAGCGUUGAGGCAUUACCAUGUGUGAGGCACUGGUGAAGAUAUUUGAUGUGAAUUUAAUAAUUUAAUCUUUUUUAUUGUGGUAAAAAAUACGCGAUCUCUGCUCACUGCAACCUCCACCUCCCGGGUUCCAGCAAUUCUGCCUCAGCCUCCCAAGUAGCUGAGAUUACAGGCGCCCACCACCACGUGCCGCUAAUUUUUGUAUUUUU
rnacentral:lncRNA from 1 species